UACGUAGGGCGCAAGCGUUGUCCGGAAUUAUUGGGCGUAAAGAGCUCGUAGGCGGCCUGUUGCGUCCGCUGUGAAAUCCCGGGGCUCAACCCCGGGCCUGCAGUGGAUACGGGCUGGCUAGAGGCAGGCAGGGGAGAACGGAAUUCCUGGUGUAGCGGUGAAAUGCGCAGAUAUCGGGAGGAACACCGGUGGCGAAGGCGGUUCUCUGGGCCUGUACUGACGCUGAGGAGCGAAAGCGUGGGGAGCGAACAGG
rnacentral:rRNA from 1 species